rnacentral:lncRNA from 1 species
UUUGGGAAAACUUUUUAUUGCUUUUGAGGUCAUCAAAUUAUACGUUACAGUAUCUGUGAACCACCGCUGUUUUAGGCUCUAAUUAAUCACUCAAAAAAUAAACCAAUUUAGGGACCCCUCAUAAUCUAGCAUUCAAAUCAGUCCAAAAGUUUAAUUAUUCAAUAUUCCUAAAAGCAAUGUUUAUUUGCUAUGAUGGAGCUAUGUUUCUAAUAUUUCCUACAAUGAUUAACUACUUUUCCACUAUUCAAUUAAAAACUUUACGGACUUUAACCUUUGUUGCUUUAUGAAGAGGCUUCCUUAUUGAAUCCAGUAGUCAAGAAUCCAAUGGUGAAACAGUGAAAUGAAUUCCGGAGGCGAAUUUAGGCUCAAAUUAUGGUAUACGUGAAUUUAUGGAGAAGAGUGAUCAUUUCCGAAAAAAUAUACGUAUAUUUUUUUCUCUCUUUUUUUGUGGUACAUUCAUAUUCUAGAAAUCAUAUAUCCGUCUCCAAUUCCCAUCGUCACAGUUAUGCAACAAAAUCUUUUGCUCCCUUUUGCCACGUCCUUAGUUGUUAACUAAGUACACGUGCGACACUUGACAACUUGCUCAUGAUCUUGCACAGCUUGCUCGCGUUCUUGCUAUGCCAAGUCAGUCCUACUACACUCAUGAUCGCUAAGAAAUGUUAGAACACAUGAGAAUUGCCAAAAGAAGCUUUUGUAUUAGAGAAAACUUGAUUGUUUUGCUUGGUUGAUGAAUUACAAAUGAAUGCCUCAUAUUUAUACUAAUCACCUAGGGGCUAGUAUGUAAAUAAUAAUUGUUCUACAAGUCCUUUCAUAUUUACAAGUAAGUCCCUUCUCUAGAAUAUUCUACACAGCUAGAUUCUUCUAAGGACUUUCCUAACAAUUCUAUAGGGUUCUAGGGUCUUCCUAAGGAAACCUCUAUAUUUCUCUAGAAUCUUCCUACAAAUGCAUAAAUAUAUAGAACUUUUCUAAGGAAAUUCUCCAUAGUUCUAGAAUAUUCCACCAAGAUCUUGUCCCUAACUUAUGUAACCAUUCCAUAUGGCAAAAAUAUAUGCCAAGUGGCACCUACGUGGCAUGAUGAUGUGGCGGGUCAUGACACUCUCCCCCACCCAAUUUUGUGUCGCCCUCGGCACAAAGCAUCGACACGUAUGCGCGCACCUCGCCUUGGCGUCGCCGAAGAUCUUUGUCCAUUAGCCAUGAUGCCCUAUGAAGCGGUUCUCCUUCCCAUUUCACAAGGUACUGGCUAUCUAUUUUCUUAUGCCAUUUGUACUUUGGACGGCUAGCAAUGAUGGCUUCGAUCCUCCGCCCAUCGGAUGCUCCUCCUUGCUCUUGGCCUGAAUCUUCCCACAACUCAACCAAGUCUAGUAGCUUCUCAAGCAUCGAGUACAUGCUUCCACUCCCUAUUUUGGUUGCCCUCUGUGGUCCAGCCUUAUUGGCAAACUUGAACCCUCUGCUUGGUGCAUCGUCUGAGUCUGAUAGCAUGCCAUUACUUUGUAAAUCGCCAUCCUUUUCAACUAUGUCCGUCUAACAUUUCUUGCUGCCACCAUGCUCCAUUUGCAUGGUGCCAAGAUAGGCUUUGGAAUCCCCUACUUUCGGCUUAGAUUCCAAGCGCAUCCCUCCAAUACAGGCGGUUCCCCUUGUGUCAUCCUUAUGUGCUUGAGCAAAGUUCCCUAUCAUUGCUGCAAGCUUCCCUAGCUCUAAGCAUUCACUUGCCCGAUGUGAUCCUUCACAGAAAUAGCACUUUCCCUUAGGCACGUACUCCCUACCAUUUUUCGGCCCCUUGCCGUUUCUCUUGGACCCUUGUCCGUUAUGGGAUGGCCCCUUGCCAUUACCCUUGUAUACCUCGGCUAUGCAUUUCCCAUUGUCCUCAUCAUGAUCUCCCUCAUCCCUCUCGGCGUUGCCUUCUUUGGACUUGGCAGGCUCCAUCUUGAAGUCAACAAGUGACUAGGCUACUCCAAUGGCCCUGUUCACGUUGGCUAUUUGAUGUCUUCUUAACUUAUGCUUUGUCCAAUUUUGCAACUCAUCCAUGAAGUAGAAGAGGAAAUCUUCCUCGGAUAAUGACGAGAUUUGUAGCAUUAAGUUAGUGAACUCGCGUACAUACUCCCGAAUUGUAGCCUCUGUCGGAGCUCCCUUAGCUUCCGCCAGUCUUCCACCUCGCAUGCAGCUCGUGCACCACCAUACAACUUUCGCUUAGGGACCUUCGCGUUGAUCCCUUCUACAAGUACUAAGCCCUUGGUAAUUCCGACCAUGGUUCCUACAAAAUUUCCUUCUAGCAAUCUCUUGUAUUCUUUCUAACAUUCCUUAGUCAUAACCUUUGCUUUGAUACCACGUUGUCACGUCCUUAGUUGUUAACUAAGUACACGUGCGACACUUGACAGCUUGCUCAUGAUCUUGCACAGCUUGCUUGCAUUCUUGCUAUGCCAAGUCAGUCCUACUACACUCAUGAUCGCUAAGAAAUGUUAGAACACAUGAGAAUUCCCAAAGGAAGCUUUUGUAUUAGAGAGAACUUGAUUGUUUCGCUUGGUUGAUGAAUUACAAAUGAAUGCCCCCUAUUUAUACUAAUCACAUAGGGGCUAGUAUAUAAAUAAUAAUUAUUCUACAAGUCCUUUCAUAUUUACAACUAAAUUCCUUCUCUAGAAUAUUCUACACAGCUAGAUUCUUCUAAGGACUUUCCUAACAAUUCUAUAGGGUUCUAAGGUUUUCCUAAGAAAACCUCUAUAUUUCUCUAGAACCUUCCUACAAAUGCAUAAAUAUCUAGAACUUUUCUAAGGAAAUUCUCCAUAGUU